GCACCCCGCCUGGGAGUACGGUCGCAAGAUUAAAACUCAAAGGAAUGACGGGGGCCCGCACAAGCGGUGGAGCAUGUGGUUAAUUNGACGCAACGCGCAGAACCUUACCAGCUUUUGACAUGUCCGGUUGCAUCGGCAGAGAUGCCUUUCUUCAGUUCGGCUGGCCGGAACACAGGUGCUGCAUGGCUGUCGUCAGCUCGUGUCGUGAGAUGUUGGGUUAAGUCCCGCAACGAGCGCAACCCUCGCCCCUAGUUGCCAUCAUUCAGUUGGGAACUCUAGGGGGACUGCCGGUGAUAAGCCGCGAGGAAGGUGGGGAUGACGUCAAGUCCUCAUGGCCCUUACAGGCUGGGCUACACACGUGCUACAAUGGCGGUGACAAUGGGCAGCGAAGGGGUGACCUGGAGCUAAUCCCAAAAAGCCGUCUCAGUUCAGAUUGUACUCUGCAACUCGAGUACAUGAAGGUGGAAUCGCUAGUAAUCGUGGAUCAGCAUGCCACGGUGAAUACGUUCCCGGGCCUUGUACACACCGCCCGUCACACCAUGGGAGUUGGGUUUACCCGAAGGCGUCGCGCUAACCGCAAGGAGGCAGGCGACCACGGUAGGCUCAGCGACUGGGGUGAAGUCGUAACAAGGUAGCCGUAGGGGAACCUGCGGCUGGAUCACCUCCUUAAGCUUGGAUACCCGGG
rnacentral:rRNA from 1 species